UGUUUGGAAGUGUUGCGGUAUUGAAAUAUGUUAUUGAAACAGGCAAAGUUGAUGUGAAUAGGGCCUGUGGAUCUGAUGGUUUCACUGCCCUUCACUGUGCUGUUGCUGGUGGUGCCAAAUCUUCCUUUGAGGUGGUCAAACUCUUACUCAGUGCAUCUGCUGAUGUUAACUGUGUUGAUGCGUAUGGGAAUAAGCCAGUCGAUCUCAUUCCAGUUGCUAUGAAAUCACCACUCCAUUCAAGAAAAAGGGCAAUAGAGUUAUUGUUGAAAGGCGAUCAUACUAUUUUUGAAGAGGAAGAAUUGGUGAAUAUCCCUGUGCCUCAGUUAUCAAAAGAUGGAACUGAGAAGAAAGAGUACCCAAUUGAUGUAUCGUUGCCUGAUAUAAACAAUGGAGUUUAUGGAACUGAUGAUUUUAGAAUGUACGCUUUUAAGAUAAAGCCAUGCUCGAGGG
rnacentral:lncRNA from 1 species